CAAACUUUUCAGCUUGUCUAAUAGAUUCUCGAGUCCCCAUUCGACGUGCUGGCUGAGGUCUGUGACACUUGUCUAAUUGAUUCUCGAGUCCCCAUUCGACGUGCUGGCUGAGGUCUGUGACGCUUGUCUAAUAGAUUCUCGAGUCCCCAUUCGACGUGCUGGCUGAGGUCUGUG